rfam:Rhodoferax saidenbachensis strain DSM 22694, complete genome.
CCACGUCUGGAACGGCGUGACCUCGACUGCACGUGCAUCUGGAGUAAUUCGGGUGUGCGGAGCUACGGAUAAACGAACUGUGCGCAAGCACAUAAGGCUGACGCGAGUCAGUCCCAAUCCCACGAGCAAGAAGUGGGUAGGUCG